UACGGAGGGUGCGAGCGUUGUCCGGAAUCAUUGGGCGUAAAGGGCGCGUAGGUGGCGCGACAAGCGUGCGGUGAAAGCUCGGGGCUCAACCCCGAGUCGGCCGUGCGAACUGUUGUGCUUGAGGGCAGUAGAGGGUGGUGGAAUUCCGGGUGUAGUGGUGAAAUGCGUAGAUAUCUGGAGGAACACCGGUGGCGAAGGCGGCAUCCUGGACCACGACUGACACUGAAAAGCGAAAGCCAGGGGAGCAAACGGG
rnacentral:rRNA from 1 species